AUUGAACGCUGGCGGCAGGCUUAACACAUGCAAGUCGAGCGGGGAAAGGUAGCUUGCUACCUGACCUAGCGGCGGACGGGUGAGUAAUGCUUAGGAAUCUGCCUAUUAGUGGGGGACAACAUCUCGAAAGGGAUGCUAAUACCGCAUACGUCCUACGGGAGAAAGCAGGGGACCUUCGGGCCUUGCGCUAAUAGAUGAGCCUAAGUCGGAUUAGCUAGUUGGUGGGGUAAAGGCCUACCAAGGCGACGAUCUGUAGCGGGUCUGAGAGGAUGAUCCGCCACACUGGGACUGAGACACGGCCCAGACUCCUACGGGAGGCAGCAGUGGGGAAUAUUGGACAAUGGGGGGAACCCUGAUCCAGCCAUGCCGCGUGUGUGAAGAAGGCCUUUUGGUUGUAAAGCACUUUAAGCGAGGAGGAGGCUACCGAGAUUAAUACUCUUGGAUAGUGGUCGUUACUCGCAGAAUAGGCACCGGCUAACUCUGU
rnacentral:rRNA from 1 species